UACAGAGGUCUCAAGCGUUGUUCGGAUUCAUUGGGCGUAAAGGGUGCGUAGGCGGCGCGGUAAGUAAGGUGUGAAAUCCCUCGGCUCAACCGAGGAACUGCGCUCUAAACUACCGUGCUUGAGGGAGGUAGAGGUGAGCGGAACUUAGGGUGGAGCGGUGAAAUGCGUUGAUAUCCUAAGGAACACCGGUAGCGAAAGCGGCUCACUGGAUCUCUUCUGACGCUGAGGCACGAAAGCUAGGGUAGCGAACGGG
rnacentral:rRNA from 1 species